AGUGAACGCUGGCGGUAGGCCUAACACAUGCAAGUCGAACGGCAGCACAGUAAGAGCUUGCUCUUACGGGUGGCGAGUGGCGGACGGGUGAGGAAUACAUCGGAUUCUACUUUUUCGUGGGGGAUAACGUAGGGAAACUUACGCUACUACCGCAUACGACCUACGGGUGAAAGCAGGGGAUCUUCGGACCUUUCGCGAUUGAUUGAGCCGAUGUCGGAUUAGCUAGUGGGCGGGGUAAAGGCUCACCAAGGCGACGCUUCGUAGCUGACCUGAGAGGAGGAUCGGCCACACUGGAACGGAGACACGGUCCAGACUCCUACGGGAGGCAGCAGUAGGGAAUCUUCCGCAAUGGGCGAAAGCCUGACGGAGCAACGCCGCGUGAGUGAUGAAGGUCUUCGGAUCGUAAAGCUCUGUUAUUAGGGAAGAACAAAUGUGGAAGUAACUAUGCACGUCUUGACGGUACCUAAUCAGAAAGCCACGGCUAACUACGUG
rnacentral:rRNA from 1 species